rnacentral:miRNA from 1 species
AGGGAGAGGCCUCGUGACCACG